rnacentral:tRNA from 1 species
UCCCUGGUGGCCUAGUGGUUAAGGACACAGCAUUGUCAUUGCUGUGGCUCGGGGUUCAAUCCCUGGCCUGGGCA